CAGUAGCCACGGGAAUACCGAGGAUGCAAGCGUUAUCCGGAAUGAUUGGGCGUAAAGCGCGCGCAGGCGGUCAUUUAAGUCUGGUGUUUAAUCCCGGGGCUUAACCCCGGAUCGCACUGGAAACUGGGUGACUUGAGUGCAGAAGAGGAGAGUGGAAUUCCACGUGUAGCGGUGAAAUGCGUAGAUAUGUGGAGGAACACCAGUGGCGAAGGCGACUCUCUGGGCUGUAACUGACGCUGAGGCGCGAAAGCGUGGGGAGCAAACAGGAUUAGAUACCCCGGUAGUCCCUGUCUCUUAUACA
rnacentral:rRNA from 1 species